rnacentral:tRNA from 1 species
GCGGGAAUAGCUCAGUUGGUAGAGCGCGACCUUGCCAAGGUCGAUGUCGCCGGUUCGAGUCCGGUUUCCCGCUCCA